GUGAAGAUGCAGUGAAUGAGAGUGGAUACUGCAUCAGUUUAAGGUUUAUUGGCUGCUGUGUUACUUCAAGAUCUACAGUUGAUAGCUUUGUGAGUAGCAUCAGCACUCAUGGUAAUGUCUACAUUUGCAUUUGAGUUGCAACUUUGGGUAGAUUAACGUGAUCUAAUGCAAAUGUGCUGAUCUGAUGAUGGGAUUAGGCAGUGGUGAUCGUUUGAAUCACCAAUAUUGCGAUCUUUUUCAUGAAUUUAUUGUUGCUAAUGUUUUCUUUAAAAUUUUCAUGAAUUUAUCGUUGUGAAUUGAAUUUGAUUCCUAUGUUUUCUAAAUUUGUGAUUUGAUUAACUUGUUGUGGUUAUAGUAGUCAUGAAUAUGAGUUAUUCUAAUUUGGUUAUAGUACUUCUGAGGUAACCAUGCAUUUUUUCCUGCCAACUUGUUGAUCACCUAACCUAUUCAGAAAAUGAAAGCCAGAGGUUAAUUGCACAAGACACUCUAAAGUUAAGCCAUAAUUAGUUUAUAAGAUUGAUAGAUAUAUAUACAUUAUACUUUCGUGUUUCAUAUCUGAAGUGAACAUAGUACAAUAUGUGUGGAUAUAUAUUAUUGAGUCUCUGAUAUCCGUUACUAAAUAAAUAUUCAUUGUAUUAUGAGGGACUAUUCACCUUCUUAAUUAGUGAAAACAGAGUUAGUUCAUUAAAUAGAGUUAUAUUAUAACUAAAUUUGAAAAAUAGUUUCAUUGGUUGCAGGGAAUAAACCCAUCGCCUAUGUUUGAGUGUCAAAAAAGGUGGUUAGAAUUAUUAUUGGGUUUACGUGCAGAUCCUAUCAAGUAUUGCACUUGCAAAAUUCAAGAUUAUAAGGCACCUCAUUGUGAACAGGAUGAGGAUGUAAACCUUGAUGACGUUGAUGCUGAAUGUAUUCAGCAACAAUCAGGUAACUAUAAGUUGAAGAAAAAAUACAAAAUGCUUAUCAAUCCUGGAGUAAAUUAUGCUAGUUUAUGAUACGUAAGAUCAUGAAGAAUUGCAGAGUUGAUUAGAAUCUUGUGUGAUGAUUAGUUGGCUAGCUUGAGCUAGAAUUGAUUUGUAGAAUUAUGAAUAGACAAAUUUGUGGUUGUUAAGCUUAGUCAAGGUAACCUUUCAUGAACUCGUUCAAUAAGCUAAUGGAUUCUAAUUAUGGGAUAAGGGUGGUUUUGUACAACGAUAAGUCACUUCAUGUUGCUAUCUACAUUCUUGACAAAUUGCUAUCUGUUAUCUUCAGUGUAGAUUUUUGAUAAGCAUCUCUUAUAAGUUUCUUAAAUUUUUUGGUGAAGCAACUGAGAUGUUUGAAUAUAAUAUUUUUGUCUAAUUUUUCCUCUCAAUUUGCAGAUAUUCAUAAUAGUAUUGUCAUGAAGCUGGUUAAGAAAGUUGCCCAUAGAGGAUCUACAGCUCCAGAUAGUAUUGCGAAAAGAUUUGAUCAA
rnacentral:lncRNA from 1 species